rnacentral:rRNA from 2 species
UGGGGAAUAUUGCACAACGGGCGAAAGCCUGAUGCAGCCACGCCGCGUGAGCGAUGAAGGCCUUCGGGUCGUAAAGCUCUGUCCUCAAGGAAGAUAAUGACGGUACUUGAGGAGUAAGCCCCGGCUAUCUACUUGCCAGCAGCCGCGGUAAUACGUAGGGGGCUAGCGUUAUCCGGAAUUACUGGGCGUAAAGGGUGCGUAGGUGGUUUCGUAAGUCAGAGGUGAAAGGCUACGGCUCAACCGUAGUAAGCUUUUGGAACUGUAAGACUUGAGUGCAGGAGAGGAGAGUGGAAUUCCUAGUGUAGCGGUGAAAUGCGUAGAUAUUAGGAGGAACACCAGUAGCGAAGGCGGCUCUCUGGACUGUAACUGACGCUGAGGCACGAAAGCGUGGGGAGCAAACAGG